rnacentral:misc_RNA from 1 species
UCUCCGUAGGUGAACCUGCGGAGGGAUCAUUACUGAGUGAGGGCUCACGCCCGACCUCCAACCCUUUGUGAACACAUCUUGUUGCUUCGGGGGCGACCCGGCCUUCGGGCGUCGGGGCCCCCGGUGGACCACCCAACCCUGCAUCGUUGCGUCUGAGUCGAAAUAUAAAUCAAUCAAAACUUUCAACAACGGAUCUCUUGGUUCUGGCAUCGAUGAAGAACGCAGC